rnacentral:lncRNA from 1 species
UUUCACCCGAUUACUGCAGACAAAAUCUAAAUUCGUGCAUUUAUAUAUAUAUCUAUUAUAUUUCUAUUAAUCUAUUAACUUAUAUGAAUCCUUAAUAUUUUUUGCCACGUGGUAAGUUGUCCUUCACCCUCACCAUCAUUUAAUAUAUUUAAUACAAACUUUCAAUCUAUUAACUUAUAUGAAUCCCUAAUAUUUUUUGCCACGUGGUAAGUUGUCCUUCACCCUCACCAUCAUUUAAUAUAUUUAAUACAAACUUUCAAUCUAUUAACUUAUAUGAAUCCCUAAUAUUUUUUGCCACGUGGCAAGUUGUCCUUCAUCCUCACCAUCAUUUAAUAUAUUUAAUAAAAACUUUCAAUCUAUUAACUUAUAUGAAUCCCAAUAUUUUUUUGCCACGUGGCAAGUUGUCACGCCCCGAGCCCGCCUAUUUGGUCGGUUCGGGCAUGUCGAACAGACGCCGAACGGACAACACCUCUCCUGUCCGCUCAAGGCUCAACAAGACAUCAAACAUGUAUAUAGUAUACAUGGCUUGCACGAGGGCAAGCAAUAAUCAAAAGUGAAAGAUUCUAAACUAAACAUACAUACAAAUACUAUGAUUAACUUUUAAUCACAUACAUGCAUUCAACCACAUCUUAUAUUAACUUCUUUUCAUUCUUUUCUUAUACAUCACAUUUUACCCAAAAUUACAUCAUAUUCUUUCAUCCAAUAACUUAAGCUUUCACAUUAAUGCAUAAUUCAUACUACUAACAUCAUCAAAUACAAAAGAUGAUAAACGGGUAUGAAGCUAUACUCGGGUAGUCGCUAGCUAGGGUGCGAUACCCUUGCCACGGUCCUCGACCGCCUCACUCGGACCUAGAUCUGUGAAAAAUAGUGGGGUGAGAACUACAAAGAAGUUUCCAGUGGGUUCGACCGCCAACCUCGCCAACUUUUUCACCAGAUCUAAAUCAGGCAUAACAGAAGAAAUAAGCCGAUAGAUAAGUAACCAACUAUACAAAUGCAGCUAAUAUACCUGAACAAGAUAUACAAUAAGGAUGCUCAAUAAGAAUGCUCAU